rnacentral:rRNA from 1 species
UAAUACCUUAUAAUCCCUUCGGGGGAAAGCUUUAUGCGCUAAUGGAUGGGCCCGCGUUAGAUUAGCCUGUUGGUGAGGUAAUGGCUCACCAAGGCGACGAUCUAUAGCUGGUCUGAGAGGAUGAUCAGCCACACUGGGACUGAGACACGGCCCAGACUCCUACGGGAGGCAGCAGUGGGGAAUAUUGGACAAUGGGGGCAACCCUGAUCCAGCGAUGCCGCGUGAGUGAUGAAGGCCUUAGGGUUGUAAAACUCUUUCGCUAGGGAAGAUAAUGACGGUACCUAGUAAAGAAGAUCCGGCUAACUCCGUGCCAGCAGCCGCGGUAAUACGGAGGGAUCUAGCGUUAUUCGGAAUAACUGGGCGUAAAGCGAGCGUAGGCGGAUUUGUAAGUUGGAGGUGAAAUCCCAGGGCUUAACCCUGGAACUGCCUUCAAAACUACAUUUCUUGAGUUUGGUAGAGGAGAGUGGAAUUCCUAGUGUAGAGGUGAAAUUCGUAGAUAUUAGGAGGAACACCAGUGGCGAAGGCGACUCUCUGGGCCAAUACUGACGCUGAGGUUCGAAAGCGUGGGGAGCAAACGGGAUUAGAUACCCCGGUAGUCCACGCAGUAAACGAUGAGUGCUAGAUGUUGGGAACAUUAGUUUUCAGUAUCGCAGCUAACGCGUUAAGCACUCCGCCUGGGAAGUACGGCCGCAAGGCUAAAACUCAAAUGAAUUGACGGGGACCCGCACAAGCGGUGGAUCAUGUGGUUUAAUUCGAAGCAACGCGAAGAACCUUACCGGCUCUUGACAUACCAAUCGCGGAUCUAAGAGAUUAGAUCCUUCACUUCGG